rnacentral:misc_RNA from 1 species
AACCGCCGUAUGCCGAACGGCACGUACGGUGGUGGUGUGCCAUGAAAGGCAUAUGGAAGAUGAAGGUAGGCCCUUCGACAGGAAU